UUUGUGAAGUACAGGUCUUCUGCCCUGAUAAGCCUCACCUCCCACAGGACCACACACGCCAUCAACACGGUCCUGGUCCAUGCACACUUCCCAACCCCCUGGAGCGUACCCUGACGCCACACUGCAGAGGCCCCCACCUCUGCACCAAUGCCCCCCACAGUUCACCUGGUCCUCACACAGACCCUACCCACAGAGUCGGAUACACUUGCCUGCCUGUAGAGGCUCCAGGCACCCAGUCAAUGCAGGCUGAAAAGUAGCCUGAGGGCUUGCUGCUGGGUGGACCAGUCCCUAGGGCGGGCUGCCUGCCCUGGCUGAACUGGAUUAAAUCUGUGCUCUAGUGGGUGUGGCAGACCCCUGGGCUAACAGACCAAGGGAUGAACUUCAAUGACGCCCACCGGGGUCUGUGUCAGCACGCCUGGACAAGUUCAGAACAAUGGCCCCCACCAAUGUCUCAGUCUCCAGAGAGGUCCCUCCUGUCACCAAGAUGCCCCCAGAGCCCACUAGGCCAUUUCACGCAAUGCCUCACUCCUAGGUUGGGCUGUAGCUACAGCUUAACAAGGCUUAGGAAUUGAGAACGGAUUUCAUUGAUCUGUCUGCCAUUCUGAGCAUGAAUAACAGAGGGUUCCCCAAGGAGGCUGGACUCAGGCGCAGGGAACACGAGUCAUCUUUUCACCUGGACUACAGGCAUCUGGCACCCUUCCCAGGGACCCAUCUGCUAAAAACACAAAGGCCUCCACUUGGCUGAUAUUGAACAUUUCCUGCAAACAGUUGACAUCUUGAGCCCAGGCCUUUGUGUCUGCCCAGGGCCAUUUAAUUCUUGGGGGUUACUUAUAUCCAUGGAUACUGAGCUGAACCAAUCACUGUGGACAGUCUCAGGGUUGAGCUUUCUGAAGAAAGAGAGGCUCCAAUGCUGCUGCAGAAAAUUCAGCUCUCAGCUCCCCAGAGCAAGAUGUUAGAGAAUGGUUUCUUCUAAGUCUUCUAAUUCUCUGUCCCAGGACAAGCUGGGUGAGAGGACAGUCAACUGUAGAAGAGAGUUUGCUCCUCAGCCUCAUUCUGGAAUUGGGCUCUAUUGUUCUCUAGGUUUCUGCUACACAGACCUUCCCAUCCCUCCACCAGCAUAUGUUCCCUCUUUCCCAUUUGUGCUGGGAAUGGUCUGUGACAAGUGUUACUUAUUCAUGCAGCAAAUCCCCAGUCUAGACACCAGGGAUGUGGUAGUGAGCAGAAACGAAGAAGGAUCUCUGCUCUCGUGGAGCUUGCAUUCAAGCAGACACACAAAUAAUAAACAAAAUUCAAAAAGCAAAAUAUACAGUAUGACACAAGUGCUAUGGAGUUAAGUAAAGCAGGGUUGUGGAGAGGGAGUUCCAGGGAGAGGCCUCACUCAAGG
rnacentral:lncRNA from 1 species